GAUGAACGCUGGCGGCGUGCCUAAUACAUGCAAGUCGAGCGAACAGACGAGGAGCUUGCUCCUCUGACGUUAGCGGCGGACGGGUGAGUAACACGUGGAUAACCUACCUAUAAGACUGGGAUAACUUCGGGAAACCGGAGCUAAUACCGGAUAAUAUAUUGAACCGCAUGGUUCAAUAGUGAAAGACGGUUUUGCUGUCACUUAUAGAUGGAUCCGCGCCGCAUUAGCUAGUUGGUAAGGUAACGGCUUACCAAGGCAACGAUGCGUAGCCGACCUGAGAGGGUGAUCGGACACACUGGAACUGAGACACGGUCCAGACUCCUACGGGAGGCAGCAGUAGGGAAUCUUCCGCAAAGGGCGAAAGCCUGACGGAGCAACGCCGCGUGAGUGAUGAAGGUCUUCGGAUCGUAAAACUCUGUUAUUAGGGAAGAACAAAUGUGUAAGUAACUAUGCACGUCUUGACGGUACCUAAUCAGAAAGCCACGGCUAACUACGUG
rnacentral:rRNA from 1 species